GAUGAACGCUGGCGGCGUGCCUAAUACAUGCAAGUCGAGCGAACAGACGAGGAGCUUGCUUCUCUGACGUUAGCGGCGGACGGGUGAGUAACACGUGGAUAACCUACCUAUAAGACUGGGAUAACUUCGGGAAACCGGAGCUAAUACCGGAUAAUAUAUUGAACCGCAUGGUUCAAUAGUGAAAGACGGUUUUGCUGUCACUUAUAGAUGGAUCCGCGCCGCAUUAGCUAGUUGGUAAGGUAACGGCUUACCAAGGCAACGAUGCGUAGCCGACCUGAGAGGGUGAUCGGCCACACUGGAACUGAGACACGGUCCAGACUCCUACGGGAGGCAGCAGUAGGGAAUCUUCCGCAAUGGGCGAAAGCUUGACGGAGCAACGCCGCGUGAGUGAUGAAGGUCUUCGGAUCGUAAAACUCUGUUAUUAGGGAAGAACAAAUGUGUAAGUAACUAUGCACGUCUUGACGGUACCUAAGCAGAAAGCCACGGCUAACUACGU
rnacentral:rRNA from 1 species